rnacentral:rRNA from 1 species
CCCGGGUCUUGUACACACCGCCCGUCACACCACGAGAGUUUACAACACCCGAAGUCGGUGAGGUAACCGCAAGGAGCCAGCCGCCGAAGGUGGGUAGAUGAUUGGGGUG